rnacentral:rRNA from 1 species
ACGAACGCUGGCGGCAUGCCUAACACAUGCAAGUCGAACGAAGCCUUCGGGCUUAGUGGCGCACGGGUGCGUAACGCGUGGGAAUCUGCCCUCUGGUACGGAAUAACUCAGGGAAACUUGAGCUAAUACCGUAUGAUGUCUUCGGACCAAAGAUUUAUCGCCAGGGGAUGAGCCCGCGUCGGAUUAGCUAGUUGGUGGGGUAAAGGCCCACCAAGGCGACGAUCCGUAGCUGGUCUGAGAGGAUGAUCAGCCACACUGGGACUGAGACACGGCCCAGACUCCUACGGGAGGCAGCAGUGGGGAAUAUUGGACAAUGGGCGAAAGCCUGAUCCAGCAAUGCCGCGUGAGUGAAGAAGGCCUUCGGGUUGUAAAGCUCUUUUGCCCGGGAAGAUAAUGACUGUACCGGGAGAAUAAGCCCCGGCUAACUCCGU